UCCGGCUUAACGCCGGCAGUCUCCAUAGAGUGCCCAACUGAAUGGUGGCAACUAAGGAUAAGGGUUGCGCUCGUUAAGGGACUUAACCCGACAUCUCACGAUACGAGCUGACGACAGCCAUGCAGCACCUGUCUCGCAGUCCCCGAAGGGAAGACUCUAUCUCUAGAGCUGUCUGCGGAUGUCAAACCCAGGUAAGGUUCUUCGCGUUGCAUCGAAUUAAACCACAUGCUCCACCGCUUGUGCGGGCCCCCGUCAGUUCCUUUGAGUUUUAGCCUUGCGGCCGUACUCCCCAGGCGGGGUGCUUAAUGCGUUAGCUUCGGCACGGACGGGGUUGAUAUCCGCCCACACCUAGCACCCAACGUUUACGGCUAGGACUAC
rnacentral:misc_RNA from 1 species